AAUGGGGAAACCCAGUGUGUUUCGACACACUAUCAUUAACUGAAUCCAUAGGUUAAUGAGGCGAACCGGGGGAACUGAAACAUCUAAGUACCCCGAGGAAAAGAAAUCAACCGAGAUUCCCCCAGUAGCGGCGAGCGAACGGGGAGGAGCCCAGAGCCUGAAUCAGUGUGUGUGUUAGUGGAAGCGUCUGGAAAGGCGCGCGAUACAGGGUGACAGCCCCGUACACAAAAAUGCACAUAUUGUGAGCUCGAUGAGUAGGGCGGGACACGUGGUAUCCUGUCUGAAUAUGGGGGGACCAUCCUCCAAGGCUAAAUACUCCUGACUGACCGAUAGUGAACCAGUACCGUGAGGGAAAGGCGAAAAGAACCCCGGCGAGGGGAGUGAAAAAGAACCUGAAACCGUGUACGUACAAGCAGUGGGAGCCUCUUAAUGGGGUGACUGCGUACCUUUUGUAUAAUGGGUCAGCGACUUAUAUUCUGUAGCAAGGUUAACCGAAUAGGGGAGCCGAAGGGAAACCGAGUCUUAACUGGGCGUUAAGUUGCAGGGUAUAGACCCGAAACCCGGUGAUCUAGCCAUGGGCAGGUUGAAGGUUGGGUAACACUAACUGGAGGACCGAACCGACUAAUGUUGAAAAAUUAGCGGAUGACUUGUGGCUGGGGGUGAAAGGCCAAUCAAACCGGGAGAUAGCUGGUUCUCCCCGAAAGCUAUUUAGGUAGCGCCUCGUGAAUUCAUCUCCGGGGGUAGAGCACUGUUUCGGCAAGGGGGUCAUCCCGACUUACCAACCCGAUGCAAACUGCGAAUACCGGAGAAUGUUAUCACGGGAGACACACGGCGGGUGCUAACGUCCGUCGUGAAGAGGGAAACAACCCAGACCGCCAGCUAAGGUCCCAAAGUCAUGGUUAAGUGGGAAACGAUGUGGGAAGGCCCAGACAGCCAGGAUGUUGGCUUAGAAGCAGCCAUCAUUUAAAGAAAGCGUAAUAGCUCACUGGUCGAGUCGGCCUGCGCGGAAGAUGUAACGGGGCUAAACCAUGCACCGAAGCUGCGGCAGCGACACUAUGUGUUGUUGGGUAGGGGAGCGUUCUGUAAGCCUGUGAAGGUGGCCUGUGAGGGUUGCUGGAGGUAUCAGAAGUGCGAAUGCUGACAUAAGUAAC
rnacentral:rRNA from 1 species